rnacentral:rRNA from 1 species
GAUGAACGCUGGCUGUGUGCCUAAUACAUGCAUGUCGAGCGAAGCACUUUUGUGCUUAGCGGCGAAUGGGUGAGUAACACGUACUUAACCUACCCUCAAGAUUGGGACAACACUUGGAAACGAGUGCUAAUACCAAAUACGUAUUUUUAUCGCAUGAUAGAUAUAUAAAAGGAGCUUCGGCUUCACUAGAGGAUGGGAGUGCGCUACAUUAGUUAGUUGGUAGGGUAAUGGCCUACCAAGACUAUGAUGUAUAGCGGGGCCGAGAGGCUGAUCCGCCACACUGGGACUGAGAUACGGCCCAAACUCCUACGGGAGGCAGCAGUAGGGAAUUUUCCACAAUGAACGAAAGUUUGAUGGAGCGACACAGCGUGCAGGAUGAAGGUCUUCGGAUUGUAAACUGCUGUUAUAAGAGAAGAAAAACCCUGGUAGGUAAUGACCAGGACUUGACGGUACCUUAUCAGAAAGCGACGGCUAACUAUGUGCCAGCAGCCGCGGUAAUACAUAGGUCGCAAGCGUUAUCCGGAAUUAUUGGGCGUAAAGAGUUCGUAGGUGGUUUUGUAAGUCUGAAGUUAAAUACCGGGGCUCAACCCCGGCCCGCUUUGGAUACUGCAAAACUAGAGUAAUAGAGAGGUUAGUGGAACUCCAAGUGAAGCGGUGGAAUGCGUAGAUAUUUGGAAGAACACCAAUGGCGAAGGCAACUAACUGGAUAUUAACUGACACUGAGGAACGAAAGCGUGGGUAGCAAACAGG